UGGGGAAUUUUGGACAAUGGGCGAAAGCCUGAUCCAGCAAUGCCGCGUGUGUGAAGAAGGCCUUCGGGUUGUAAAGCACUUUUGUCCGGAAAGAAAUCCUUGGCUCUAAUACAGUCGGGGGAUGACGGUACCGGAAGAAUAAGCACCGGCUAACUACGUGCCAGCAGCCGCGGUAAUACGUAGGGUGCAAGCGUUAAUCGGAAUUACUGGGCGUAAAGCGUGCGCAGGCGGUUUGCUAAGACCGAUGUGAAAUCCCCGGGCUCAACCUGGGAACUGCAUUGGUGACUGGCAGGCUAGAGUAUGGCAGAGGGGGGUAGAAUUCCACGUGUAGCAGUGAAAUGCGUAGAGAUGUGGAGGAAUACCGAUGGCGAAGGCAGCCCCCUGGGCCAAUACUGACGCUCAUGCACGAAAGCGUGGGGGAGCAAAACAGGAUUAGAUACCCUGGUAGUCCACGCCCUAAAACGAUGUCAACUAGUUGUGGGGAUUCAUUCCUUAGUAACGUAGCUAACGCGUGAAGUUGACCGCCUGGGGAGUACGGUCGCAAGAUUAAAACUCAAAGGAAUUGAC
rnacentral:rRNA from 1 species